rnacentral:rRNA from 1 species
GAAGCAGGUAGCUUAACCUUCGGGAGGGCGCUUGCCACGGUGUGGCCGAUGACUGGGGUGAAGUCGUAACAAGGUAGCCGUAUCGGAAGGUGCGGCUGGAUCACCUCCUUUUGAGC